rnacentral:rRNA from 1 species
GACGAACGCUGGCGGCGUGCUUAACACAUGCAAGUCGAACGGAAAGGCCCUGCUUUUGUGGGGUGCUCGAGUGGCGAACGGGUGAGUAACACGUGAGUAACCUGCCCUUGACUUUGGGAUAACUUCAGGAAACUGGGGCUAAUACCGGAUAGGAGCUCCUGCUGCAUGGGGGGGGUUGGAAAGUUUCGGCGGUUGGGGAUGGACUCGCGGCUUAUCAGCUUGUUGGUGGGGUAGUGGCUUACCAAGGCUUUGACGGGUAGCCGGCCUGAGAGGGUGACCGGCCACAUUGGGACUGAGAUACGGCCCAGAAUCCUACGGGAGGCAGCAGUGGGGAAUAUUGCACAAUGGGCGGAAGCCUGAUGCAGCAACGCCGCGUGCGGGAUGACGGCCUUCGGGUUGUAAACCGCUUUCGCCUGUGACGAAGCGUGAGUGACGGUAAUGGGUAAAGAAGCACCGGCUAACUACGUG